UGGAGGGCAAGUCUGGUGCCAGCAGCCGCGGUAAUUCCGGCUCCAAUAGCGUAUAUUAAAGUUGUUGCAGUUAAAAAGCUCGUAGUUGAAUUUCGGAAUCAAUUUGUUGGUCGUGCCUCGGUACGUACUGGUAUUAUUGGUUUCUACCUUCUGAAGAACCUUGAUGUCAUUAAUUUGGUGUCUUGGGGAAUCAGGACUGUUACUUUGAAAAAAUUAGAGUGUUUAAAGCAAGCAUACGCUUGAAUACAUUAGCAUGGAAUAAUGAAAUAGGACGUUUGAUUCUAUUUUGUUGGUUUCUAGGAUCGACGUAAUGAUUAAUAGGGAUAGUUGGGGGCACUAGUAUUCAAUUGUCAGAGGUGAAAUUCUUGGAUUUAUUGAAGACUAACUACUGCGAAAGCAUUUGCCAAGGAUGUUUUCAUUAAUCAAGAACGAAAGUUAGGGGAUCGAAGACGAUCAGAUACCGUCGUAGUCUUAACCAUAAACUAUGCCGACUAGGGAUCGGAUGAUGUUAAUUUUUUAAUGACUCAUWMGGCGCCUUACGGGAAAC
rnacentral:rRNA from 1 species